rnacentral:lncRNA from 1 species
UUCAAGCAUUGCUUGGACUUGAUUAACUUCGUUGAAGAGUAGACGGAGGUUGGAGAGAGCAGCAUGAUGGUUGAUGAGAAGUCGGCAUCACCAUUGAUUUAAAGGCAAGGUGGAGAAUUGUUGAAUAUUGCCUUGAAAUAAUGUAAAAAUUAGAAAAUCAUGUUUUGGUAGUCUCUGCCUGCUCACGCCCAGGCGUGAAAAACUGGGCUGAACUCAGGUUGCUCACACCCAGGCGUGGGAGGCUGCGCCCAGGCGUAGUGUCUGCGGGCCUAUAUAUAUGUUAUGCGUUUUCUGACUUUUUUAAGGGGAUUUUAGGGUUUCAAAGGCUAACAAAAAGUCUAGGGUUGAGAGAUUUCAUCUUGGGAAGACUCUAGGGUUAGGGAAACAUUCUAUCACCUUGGGAAACACUUUCAUAUUGAAUUUCUUGGUCACGGGAAGAAAUNNN